rnacentral:lncRNA from 1 species
CAAGCACAGAUGUCUUAGCAAGGUAUUUCCAAGCAAGGCAGAUAGCCAAGGGACAGAAGGUUAUAUGUAGACAAUCCAAGUAAUGAAGUAUUCUUAGGUAUAGGGAAUAAUAAUGCAGCCAAAAAAAAUUAAAAAGGCUCACACAGAAAGGCAUAGUUUCUUUUAGUUAAAUGAAAUACAUUUAAAUACUGUGUUCACAUAACGUUCUGGCUGGGUUAGUUGUAUGAAAAACAAAAGAGUGCCAAAGUCAAGUCAUAGAUUGCACAUAUUGUCCAGAAAAAUAGAGUAAAAAUGCCAAUUCUGCCUUAAUGUGCCUAAAGCAAUACUGCUGUAAACACGCAAAGAUAAUCUGUGGCAAAAAUAUUGUAUGCAGCUCUCAUAUCUCUGAAGACUUAAAGGGAAAUAUGGGAAAGCUAAGCAAAACAACCUCAAACAAGAUCUGUGUAACUUCUUUGGUAUAUAAAUAUCCCUAG